rnacentral:rRNA from 1 species
CGAGCGGCGGACGGGUGAGUAACACGUGGGCAACCUGCCUGUAAGAUCGGGAUAACUCCGGGAAACCGGGGCUAAUACCGGGUAAUGCCUUCCUCCGCAUGGAGGAAGGUUGAAAGGCGGCCUUUUGGCUGUCACUUACAGAUGGGCCCGCGGCGCAUUAGCUAGUUGGUAGGGUAAUGGCCUACCAAGGCAACGAUGCGUAGCCGACCUGAGAGGGUGAUCGGCCACACUGGGACUGAGACACGGCCCAGACUCCUACGGGAGGCAGCAGUAGGGAAUCUUCCGCAAUGGACGAAAGUCUGACGGAGCAACGCCGCGUGAACGAUGAAGGUCUUCGGAUCGUAAAGUUCUGUUGUCAGGGAAGAACAAGUACCGUUUGAACAAGGCGGUACCUUGACGGUACCUGACGAGGAAGCCCCGGCUAACUACGUGCCAGCAGCCGCGGUAAUACGUAGGGGGCAAGCGUUGUCCGGAAUUAUUGGGCGUAAAGCGCGCGCAGGCGGUUCCUUAAGUCUGAUGUGA